rnacentral:rRNA from 1 species
GGAAUAUUGGGCAAUGGACGCAAGUCUGACCCAGCCAUGCCGCGUGCAGGAAGAAGGGAUUAUGUCUUGUAAACUGCUUUAGCAGGGGAAGAAAAAAUCCAUGCGUGGAUAAUUGACGGUACCCUGAGAAUAAGCACCGGCUAACUCCGUGCCACCAGCCGCGGUAAUACGGGGGGUGCAAGCGUUGUCCGGAUUUAUUGGGUUUAAAGGGUGCGUAGGCGGAUUAUUAAGUCAGUGUUAAAAUUCGGCAGCUUAACUGUCGGCCUGGCAUUGAUACUGAUAAUCUUGAGUAUAAACGAGGCAGGCGGAAUUUAUGGUGUAGCGGUGAAAUGCAUAGAUACCAUAAGGAACACCGAUAGCGAAGGCAGCUUGCUAGGUUAUAACUGACGCUGAGGCACGAAAGCGUGGGGAUCAAAC